AGUGAACGCUGGCGAUAGGCCUAACACAUGCAAGUCGAACGGACGCACAGUAAGAGCUCGCCUUUAAGGGUAGCGGGUGACGGGUGGGUAACGAAUACAUAGGCAUCUUCUAUUACGUGGAGGACAUCGGAGAGCAACUUAUGCUAAUACAGGAUAUGUUCUACGGGAGAAUGCAAGGGUGAAACACACCUUGCGUGUCACAUAUAGACGGGGCCGCAUUAGCUAGUUGGGAAGGUAAAGGCUCACCAAGGCAACGAUCCGUAGCUGACCUGAGAGGAUGAUCAGCCACACUGGAACUGAGACACGGUCCAGACUCCUACGGGAGGCAGCAGUAGGGAAUAUUGGACAAUGGGCGCAAGCCUGAUCCAGCCAUGCCGCGUGAGUGAUGAAGGUCUUCGGAUUGUAAAACCCUUUUAUUAGGAAAGAAAAGCAGCGUAAGAAUACCCCCCUGUUCUGACGGUACCCAAACAGUAAGCACCGGCUAACUUCGUG
rnacentral:rRNA from 1 species